CGGGACGGGUGAGUAAUGUCUGGGAAACUGCCUGAUGGAGGGGGAUAACUGCUGGAAACGGUAGCUAAUACCGCAUAACGUCGCAAGACCAAAGAGGGGGACCUUCGGGCCUCUUGCCAACGGAUGUGCCCAGAUGGGAUUAGCUAGUAGGUGGGGUAACGGCUCACCUAGGCGACGAUCCCUAGCUGGUCUGAGAGGAUGACCAGCCACACUGGAACUGAGACACGGUCCAG
rnacentral:rRNA from 1 species